rnacentral:rRNA from 1 species
CCUACGGGUGGCUGCAGUGAGGAAUAUUGGUCAAUGGACGAGAGUCUGAACCAGCCAAGUAGCGUGAAGGAUGACUGCCCUAUGGGUUGUAAACUUCUUUUAUAUGGGAAUAAAAUGUGCCACGUGUGGGAUUUUGUAUGUACCAUAUGAAUAAGGAACGGCUAACUCCGUGCCAGCAGCCGCGGUAAUACGGAGGAGCCGAGCGUUAUCCGGAUUUAUUGGGGUUAAAGGGAGCGUAGGUGGCUUGUUAAGUCAGUUGUGAAAGUUUGCGGCUCCACCGUAAAAUUGCAGUUGAAACUGGCAGUCUUGAGUCCAGUAGAGGUUGGCGGCAUUCGUUGUGUAGCGG